rnacentral:rRNA from 1 species
AGUGAACGCUGGCGGUAGGCCUAACACAUGCAAGUCGAACGGCAGCACAGUAAGAGCUUGCUCUUACGGGUGGCGAGUGGCGGACGGGUGAGGAAUACAUCGGCAUCUACUUUUUCGUGGGGGAUAACGUAGGGAAACUUACGCUAAUACCGCAUACGACCUACGGGUGAAAGCAGGGGAUCUUCGGACCUUGCGCGAUUGAAUGAGCCGAUGUCGGAUUAGCUAGUUGGCGGGGUAAAGGCCCACCAAGGCGACGAUCCGUAGCUGGUCUGAGAGGAUGAUCAGCCACACUGGAACUGAGACACGGUCCAGACUCCUACGGGAGGCAGCAGUGGGGAAUAUUGGACAAUGGACGCAAGCCUGAUCCAGCCAUACCGCGUGGGUGAAGAAGGCCUUCGGGUUGUAAAGCCCUUUUGUUGGGAAAGAAAAGCAGCAGGUUAAUACCCCGCUGUUCUGACGGUACCCAAAGAAUAAGCACCGGCUAACUUCGUG